UUAACAGCAGUUGGGGCUGGUUAUAUCUAUCAGUGGUACUGCAGACCCACACCUGAGGAAGGUAUGAAGAUAACUGUGUUAAAAAUGUGUUGUUUCUUUCUAGUAAACUAAUGAUAUACAGCUCACAUGACUUGGGAAACAUUCAAUUUAUAACCCUAACAAAUCCACAACAGGAAAGUAUUUAUUUUCUUCAAGGUAUAGGUUAUUAGACAACAUAUUUCUGUGUCAAUUGUACACCUAAAGUGUUCAUGUGACUUUCCAAGAUGUCUAUAUAGUCUCAAUUAAAACUACAAUUCAACUAUGACUUUGAGCCCACUGUAUAUUGGUUUACUUCAUUACUAACACUGUGUUUGUUCUUUAAUCCUCCUCAAGAGGAUCUUCCCAUUACUUCUGAUUAUCAGGACGUCUCAACAGCUGAAACACCUCAAGCUAUUAGCGAGGAGAAUGGCAAGCUCAUGCUUUUUGUGUACAGCCCACUGUACUGUGGCCCUGUCACCAUCUACAGGGGGGUCAGUGAGACAAGCGGACAGCUGCUUCCAUGGAGAUACAGUCCUUUAUACUGUGGGCCAGUGGUUCUGUUCUCUGGGGUCAGUGAGACAAGCGGACAGCUGCUUCCAUGGAGAUACAGUCCUUUAUACUGUGGGCCAGUGGUUCUGUUCUCUG